GAUGAACGCUGGCGGCGUGCCUAAUACAUGCAAGUCGAGCGAACAGACGAGGAGCUUGCUCCUUUGACGUUAGCGGCGGACGGGUGAGUAACACGUGGAUAACCUACCUAUAAGACUGGGAUAACUUCGGGAAACCGGAGCUAAUACCGGAUAACAUGUUGAACCGCAUGGUUCAAUAGUGAAAGACGGUCUUGCUGUCACUUAUAGAUGGAUCCGCGCCGCAUUAGCUAGUUGGUAAGGUAACGGCUUACCAAGGCAACGAUGCGUAGCCGACCUGAGGGGGUGAUCGGCCACACUGGAACUGAGACGCGGUCCAGACUCCUACGGGAGGCAGCAGUAGGGAAUCUUCCGCAAUGGGCGAAAGCCUGACGGAGCAACGCCGCGUGAGUGAAGAAGGUCUUCGGAUCGUAAAACUCUGUUAUUAGGGAAGAACAAAUGUGGAAGUAACUAUGCACGUCUUGACGGUACCUAAUCAGAAAGCCACGGCUAACUACGUG
rnacentral:rRNA from 1 species